rnacentral:rRNA from 1 species
GUAGGGUGCAAGCGUUAAUCGGAAUUACUGGGCGUAAAGCGUGCGCAGGCGGUUUUGUAAGUCUGAUGUGAAAGCCCCGGGCUCAACCUGGGAAUUGCAUUGGAGACUGCAAGGCUUGAAUCUGGCAGAGGGGGGUAGAAUUCCACGUGUAGCAGUGAAAUGCGUAGAGAUGUGGAGGAACACCGAUGGCGAAGGCAGCCCCCUGGGUCAAGAUUGACGCUCAUGCACGAAAGCGUGGGGAGCAAACAGGAUUAGAUACCCUGGUAGUCCACGCCCCUAAACGAUGUCUACUAGUUGUCGGGUUUUAAUUAACUUGGUAACGCAGCUAACGCGUGAAGUAGACCGCCUGGGAGUACGGUCGCAAGAUUA